GAUGAACGCUAGCGGCAGGCCUAACACAUGCAAGUCGAGGGAUAAGCCUUCGGGCUAAGACCGGCGCCCGGGUGCGUAACGCGUAUACAAUCUGCCUUUUAUCCUAGGUAUAGCCCGAAGAAAUUUGCGUCAAUACCCUAUGGUAUAAGAGCACGGCAUCGUGCACUUAUGAAAGCUACGGCGGUACAGUAUGAGUCUGCGUUCUAUUGGCUAGUUGGCGAGGUAACGGCUCCCCAAGGCGACGUGGCAUAGGAGUCCUGGGGGGGAAGUCCCCCACAAUGGUACCGCGAUACAGACCAGAAUCCUACGCGGCGCAGCAGUGUGGAAUAUUGGACACUGGUCGGAAGCGUGAUCCAGCCAUGCGGGGUGCAGGAGGCCGGCCUUCUGGGUUGUAAGCUACUUGUGUAAGGGAAGUAUAUGGAGUACGUGUCCUGUGAUGACGGUACCUAACGAAUAAGCCUCGGCUAACUCCGUG
rnacentral:rRNA from 1 species